GACGAACGCUGGCGGCGUGCUUAACACAUGCAAGUCGAACGGAAAGGCCCUGCUUUUUGGGUGUGCUCGAGUGGCGAACGGGUGAGUAACACGUGAGUAACCUGCCCUUGACUUUGGGAUAACUUCCGGUAACUGGGGCUUGUACCUGAUAGGAGCUCCUUCUUCUCGGUGGGGGUUGGAAAUUUUCGGUGGUUUGGGAUGGUGUCGCGGCUUUUCAGCUUGUUGGUGGGGUAGUGGCUUACCAAGGCUUUGACGGGUAGCCGGCCUGGGAGGGUGACCGGCCACAUUGGGACUGAGAUACGGCCCAGACUCCUACUGGAGGCAGCAGCGGAAGAUAGUGCACAAUGGGCGGAAGCAUGAUGCAGCAACGCCGCGUGCGGGAUGACGGCCUUCGGGUUGUAAACCGCUUUCGCCUGUGACGAAGAGGGAGUGACGGUAACGGGUAAAGAAGCACCGGCUAACUACGUG
rnacentral:rRNA from 1 species